rnacentral:siRNA from 1 species
CUUGCUUUUUGGAUGUUUGUG